rnacentral:rRNA from 1 species
UACGUAGGGGGCAAGCGUUGUCCGGAAUUACUGGGCGUAAAGAGCUCGUAGGUGGUUUGUCGCGUUGUUCGUGAAAUUCCCUGGCUUAACUGGGGGCGUGCGGGCGAUACGGGCAGACUGGAGUACUGCAGGGGAGACUGGAAUUCCUGGUGUAGCGGUGGAAUGCGCAGAUAUCAGGAGGAACACCGGUGGCGAAGGCGGGUCUCUGGGCAGUAACUGACGCUGAGGAGCGAAAGCAUGGGGAGCGAACAGG